GUCCUAGCCCUAAACGAUGAUUGCUUGGUGUGUUGGGUACCCAAUCCCAACGUGCCGAAGCUAACGCGAUAAGCAAUCCGCCUGGGGAGUACGGUCGCAAGACUGAAACUCAAAGGAAUUGACGGGGGCCCGCACAAGCGGUGGAGCAUGUGGUUCAAUUCGACGCAACGCGAAGAACCUUACCUGGGCUCGAAAUGUAGUGGACCGGGGUGGAAACAUCCCUUCCCGCAAGGGCUGCUAUAUAGGUGCUGCAUGGCUGUCGU
rnacentral:rRNA from 1 species